UGGGGUGUUGCCAAGUGGUAAGGCAACGGUUUUUGAUACCGUCAUUCGAAGGUUCGAUCCCUUCCACCCCAG
rnacentral:tRNA from 1 species